AAAUUGAAGAGUUUGAUCAUGGCUCAGAUUGAACGCUGGCGGCAGGCCUAACACAUGCAAGUCGAACGGUAACAGGAAGCAGCUUGCUGCUUUGCUGACGAGUGGCGGACGGGUGAGUAAUGUCUGGGAAACUGCCUGAUGGAGGGGGAUAACUACUGGAAACGGUGGCUAAUACCGCAUAAUGUCGCAAGACCAAAGAGGGGGACCUUCGGGCCUCUUGCCAUCAGAUGUGCCCAGAUGGGAUUAGCUUGUUGGUGAGGUAACGGCUCACCAAGGCGACGAUCCCUAGCUGGUCUGAGAGGAUGACCAGCCACACUGGAACUGAGACACGGUCCAGACUCCUACGGGAGGCAGCAGUGGGGAAUAUUGCACAAUGGGCGCAAGCCUGAUGCAGCCAUGCCGCGUGUAUGAAGAAGGCCUUCGGGUUGUAAAGUACUUUCAGCGGGGAGGAAGGUGUUGUGGUUAAUAACCACAGCAAUUGACGUUACCCGCAGAAGAAGCACCGGCUAACUCCGUGCCAGCAGCCGCGGUAAUACGGAGGGUGCAAGCGUUAAUCGGAAUUACUGGGCGUAAAGCGCACGCAGGCGGUCUGUCAAGUCGGAUGUGAAAUCCCCGGGCUCAACCUGGGAACUGCAUUCGAAACUGGCAGGCUUGAGUCUUGUAGAGGGGGGUAGAAUUCCAGGUGUAGCGGUGAAAUGCGUAGAGAUCUGGAGGAAUACCGGUGGCGAAGGCGGCCCCCUGGACAAAGACUGACGCUCAGGUGCGAAAGCGUGGGGAGCAAACAGGAUUAGAUACCCUGGUAGUCCACGCCGUAAACGAUGUCUACUUGGAGGUUGUGCCCUUGAGGCGUGGCUUCCGGAGCUAACGCGUUAAGUAGACCGCCUGGGGAGUACGGCCGCAAGGUUAAAACUCAAAUGAAUUGACGGGGGCCCGCACAAGCGGUGGAGCAUGUGGUUUAAUUCGAUGCAACGCGAAGAACCUUACCUGGUCUUGACAUCCACGGAAGUUUUCAGAGAUGAGAAUGUGCCUUCGGGAACCGUGAGACAGGUGCUGCAUGGCUGUCGUCAGCUCGUGUUGUGAAAUGUUGGGUUAAGUCCCGCAACGAGCGCAACCCUUAUCCUUUGUUGCCAGCGAUUAGGUCGGGAACUCAAAGGAGACUGCCAGUGAUAAACUGGAGGAAGGUGGGGAUGACGUCAAGUCAUCAUGGCCCUUACGACCAGGGCUACACACGUGCUACAAUGGCGCAUACAAAGAGAAGCGACCUCGCGAGAGCAAGCGGACCUCAUAAAGUGCGUCGUAGUCCGGAUUGGAGUCUGCAACUCGACUCCAUGAAGUCGGAAUCGCUAGUAAUCGUGGAUCAGAAUGCCACGGUGAAUACGUUCCCGGGCCUUGUACACACCGCCCGUCACACCAUGGGAGUGGGUUGCAAAAGAAGUAGGUAGCUUAACCUUCGGGAGGGCGCUUACCACUUUGUGAUUCAUGACUGGGGUGAAGUCGUAACAAGGUAACCGUAGGGGAACCUGC
rnacentral:rRNA from 1 species